GGCCUGAAACCGGUAGUGGGUGGUCUUGCAAGAUGGCGGCGCCCAGGCGGCUCCUGCUGGCGCUGGUGAGUGGCGCUUCCGGGCCGCGGCGCUACCGCCGGGCGGGGCUGGUGGAAGCGGGCGGCGCCACGCGGAGCCUGUGCGCGGGCGGCCCCCUGAGAGAGGCCGAGCGCGGGGCGGAACAGGAGCCGGGAGCGGACGGAGCGGGAGAAGCCGGCGCAAUGGUGAAGGAUUCCAGAGACUUGUUGAAAGAAUUUCCACAGCCGAAAAACUUGCUCAACAGUGUGAUUGGAAGAGCCCUGGGGAUCUCUCAUGCAAGAGACAAACUGGUGUAUAUCCACACUAACGGGCCAAGAAAAAAGAAAGUCACUCUGCACAUAAAAUGGCCUAAGAAUGUGGAAGUGGAAGGCUAUGGGACCAAAAAGAUCGAUGCUGAGAGGCAGGCUGCAGCUGCUGCAUGCCAGCUCUUCAAGGGCUGGGGGUUGUUAGGUCCCAGGAACGAGCUGUUUGAUGCUGCGAAGUACCGAAUCCUUGCUGACCAGCUUGGCUGCCCGGAGGACAAGUGGUGCCCUGAAAGCAAAUGGCGUUCCAAGUCUGGACCAUCUCUGGCUGACUUGUCGACUUGUUGGAGACGGGUGGAACCAGAUGACUCCAUCCAGUCCAUGGAGCAAGGCAGGAUGCCUAAAGCGAUGAGAAGAGAGGAGCUGGAGGAAGGGGAGCUAGAGGAGGGGGAAUUGGAGGAAGGGGAGCUGGAAGAAGACACAAUUGAUGUUACUGAUUACCUGUCUAUGGCACAGAACGAAGCUCGGACCCCAGCUAGAGACAUGAGGGGAGGGACCUCUGUUGAAAUGACAGAUGACAACAAUGCCAUCAGGGCUCUGACCCAGUUCCCUCUACCCAAAAACCUUCUGGCCCAAGUGAUUCAGAUUGCAACCUCUUCCUCCACAGUCAAGGAAUUCAUGCAGUUCCGUACCGUGGGCACCAAGACUAAGAUCUGCAAGCUCACUCUGCGCUGGCCCUGCCCGAUGACCUUCGCUGCCAAGGGCCGCCGCAAGGUUGAGGCCGAGAACAAAGCAGCAGCACUGGCCUGCCAGAAGUUGAAGAGCCUUGGCUUAGUAGACAAGAACAACAACCCACUGAGCCAUGCCAUGUACAACAUGACGUCCCUCAGGGAGCUGGGCGAGAAUCAGAGGAGACCCUGCCACAUCAAAGUCCCUGAGGCCACCCUGCGUAAGAUCGAGAACUACCUGAACCACUACCCGGUGGCCUCAAGGGAAUCCAGGCCUCGGAUUGCUGACGACAUGAUGAACCUGAGUAAGGAGUCUGGUGCGAUCAGUGAUGCCAUCACAGGGAAGACCUACACGCCCAUGUCGGAGGGGGAGGAGGUGCGCCUGAGCCAGAACCUCCUGGCCCUUUGGAAGAGGAGGGGUUCAUUGUGGCUGGAAAGCCACCAGCUGCCUGUCGAUCCUCACAAGGACACCAUCUUGUCGGCCAUUGAGCAGAAUCCUGUGGUGGUCAUAGCAGGAGACACCGGCUGUGGGAAAACCACCCGGAUCCCUCAGCUGCUGCUGGAGCGUUACAUCCUGGAGGGGCGCGGCGCCCGCUGCAACGUGGUGAUCACCCAGCCGAGGAGGAUCAGCGCCAUCUCGGUCGCCCAGCGGGUUGCGCAGGAGCUGGGUCCCAACAUGAGGAAGAACGUGGGUUACCAGGUGCGGCUGGAGAGCAAACCGCCAGCCCGGGGAGGAGCCCUGCUCUUCUGCACGGUGGGCAUCCUCCUGCGAAAGCUGCAAGGGAACCCCAGCCUGGAGGGGGUCAGCCACGUGAUUGUGGACGAGGUCCACGAGCGGGACGUCAACACCGACUUCCUGCUUAUCCUGCUGAAGGGCAUCCAGAAGCUCAACCCCGACCUGCGCCUGGUCCUGAUGAGCGCCACAGGGGACAACCAGCGCUUCUCGCAGUACUUUGGGGACUGCCCCGUGGUCAAGGUGCCGGGUUUCAUGUACCCAGUGAAGGAAUAUUACCUGGAAGAGAUCCUGGCCAAGCUGGGCCGGCACAGACACCGGCACUACGAGGUGAAGCAAUCAGAUGAUGAAUGUGUCCUCGACCUUGAGCUGAUCACUGACCUUGUGCUCCAGAUCGAUGCCCAUGGAGAGCCAGGUGGGGUCCUCUGCUUCCUUCCUGGCUGGCAGGAGAUCAAAGGAGUGCAGCAGCGCCUGCUGGAAACACUCGGCUCUCAGAACACCCGGUACCUUGUCUUACCAGUGCACUCCAACAUCCCCAUGAUGGACCAGCAGAACAUCUUCCAGCGGCCCCCGCCUGGAGUGAGAAAGAUUGUCCUGGCUACCAACAUUGCUGAGACCUCCAUCACCAUCAAUGACAUAGUGCAUGUGGUGGACAGCGGCACUCACAAGGAGGAGCGCUAUGACCUCAAAACUAAGGUCUCCUGCCUGGAAACGGUGUGGGUGUCCAAGUCCAAUGUCGUGCAGAGGCGAGGGCGUGCUGGCCGCUGCCAGUCGGGCUUUGCCUAUCACCUCUUCCCUCGCAGCCGCCUGGACAAAAUGCCCACUUUCCAGGUUCCUGAAAUCCUGCGCACUCCCCUGGAGAAUCUGGUGGUGCAGGCCAAGAUCCACAUGCCAGAGAAGACGGCAGUCGAAUUCCUCUCCAAGGCUUUGGAUAGCCCUGACAUCAAAGCUGUGGAUGAAGCUGUGAUCCUCCUGCAGGAAAUUGGAGUGCUGGAUCAGCGGGAAGCCCUCACCACGCUGGGCAAACGCCUGGCCCAAAUCUCCACAGACCCUCGGCUGGCCAAAGCCAUUGUCUUGGCAUCCAUCUAUCGCUGCCUUCAUCCGCUGCUCGUCAUCGUCUCCUGCCUCACUCGGGACCCCUUCAGCAGCAGCCUGCAGAACCGAGCGGAGGUGGACAAGGCGAAGGCCAUUCUGAGCGGAGAGAGCGGGAGCGAUCACCUGGCCUUUGUCAGGGCCGUGGCCGGCUGGGAGGAGGUGCUGAGGCGCAGAGACAGCCGUGCCAGAGAUAACUACCUGCAGGACUACUUCCUUUACGCCCCCAGCCUGCGCUUCAUCAACGGCCUUGUCAAGCAGUUCUCCGAGAACAUCUACGAUACCUUCUUGGUGUCGGCGCCCUCAGACUGCACCAUGCCCUCUGCGGCCUGCAACCAGUACAGCGAGGAGGAGGAGCUGGUGAAAGGCGUCCUCAUGGCCGGCCUCUACCCCAACCUCAUCCAGGUGAGACAAGGCAAAGUCACCCGGCAGGGAAAGUUCAAGCCCAACAGUUACUCCUAUCGGACAAAGGCUGGCACCGUCCUGCUGCACAAGUCGACCAUCAACAGGGAGGCCUCUAAGCUGUACAGCCGCUGGCUGACGUACUUCAUGGCGGUGAAGUCCAACGGCGGGGUGUUUGUGCGGGACUCCUCCCAGGUCCAUCCGCUGGCCGUGCUGCUAAUGACUGACACGGAUAUCCACGUCCGAGACGAUGGCUGGCGGGCGACGGUCUCUCUGACCGACAGUGACCUUCUGGUACUGGAAGGAGACUCGUACACGAUCCGCCUCUUGCGUGAUUUCCGAGUGUCGCUCUCCAAGAUGGUGGAGACCUGCCUGUGUUACGAAAUGUCUGCUAUCCCGGGGGACCUGCACCAUCAGCACAGCCAGCUGCUUGACAUCCUGGUGGAUCUGCUCAAGGGACCUCCUGGCAGCUUUGGCGCCUAGACAGAGGUGGAGGAUUGAGCGUGGGGACUUGUAAUUUGUAUAAAGAUGUUCACAAAUGUUUAUUUAAAUAAAGUUCUAUUUAUCCCUUGUGAAGUCAUCUCUCUCCAUCCUAGAAGAUCAGUGUUGUCAGAAUCUCCUGCUGUUGGCUCCGGGCCUGGUCAUCGUGUAGGAGGAACCAGCGCAACCCUGGCGUCGGCCGCUGCUGAGACACACAGAAGGGACUGGAAGUGCUGACGCCCCCGAGUUCAAUGGAAAGCCACUUCCUCUCUUCCGAGGGUCGUCGUAGCCCCUGAACUGGAAAGCAAUCGACACCGCUGACUCCUGCAACCCUUCCGUCGCCUCCACCCCGCGGGGCGUGCCCAGAGCAGCUCUCCCCACUUUGAGGGCUGCUCUCAACUUAGGAGGAAGUUGGACUUUCAGCUCAUGGCUGUUCCUGCACUGAGGGUCGGGGCCAGCCAGAGCCGAGCUGGCAGCUCUGCUGCAGGGUGGUGGUUUGUCAUCUUAAUUUUCCACUUGCUGAGCCCGGGCUGAAGAGGCAAGAGGGAGAGCGAGCCCCGGGAGGGUCUGGACCCGACAUUCCAUGCCGAGGGCAUCUCUGAGCCUGUGGCAGCUAGAGGUGGUUUCCUGCUGCACAAAUCAAGCUCAGUGUUGGCAUUAGGAGUGUGAGAUGUCAUGUAGUUUCUAUCUGCCUGUAUUUUUGUCCUUUUUUGCUUUUUAUUUUUUUAAAUUUCUCGUUCUCCCUCUGUCAAGGAGGCCAGCUCCCUGUAACCUGUGCAACCCAUAAAGCGAUUGCAGAGGCCACUCAUUCUGGUAGCCUGUUUCCUUGAGUAAUGCUAUUCCCUGUUUUUCUAUGACCUAGGACCAGAGUAGCACAGACGGAGGGUUCUGUGACUAACGCACAACGUUCUCAGGCAAGAGCUCUAAUCCCAGCUCUGUCUCCAGUCCCUGGCUGUCGAUGAAGAUAGCAGCCUACCUCACAGGGCUGUUGUGAGGAUAAAUUCACUAAUGUCUGUAAAGUGUGUGAGACGGGUGGCUGGAGAGUGCUACAGCUGAGCUGGUAUCGGAAAGUCGCUUUGCAGAUGAUGUCUAUUAUGAAGUGCACCAGAGGCGCAGGUGAAAGUCCUGUAUCCUAACGCUGCAGCCGUCUGCUUGCUAGUACAGGCACUGCUACGGCUACUGCUGAUCUGCCCAGCAGGGAAAUGAAAGGUGGUCACUGGACUUGCGAUUUGUUUUUAUUUCUACUGCUCUUUGUAACUAAAAAAAGAUUAAUGCUACCCUAAUGGCAGCUGGCAGGGGCACCUGUGUGAUGGAAAAAGGUCAUAACUAGGCCUGGCCCAGCCCAGCCCAGAGUCUAGGUAUGGGGCACAGUAUUGUAACUGGGUUCUCUGUUACCCUUCUAAUUGGGCUGGUAAUACGCCACUAGGAGCUCCAUCCUCCCACACGAGAGCCAGCAGCUUUCUGUGUAUGGAUUAACUACAGGAGCAAAAACUAGCCUGUCAUGGCCUUGCACUGGGCUAGAACUGUGGCAAAGACAUGAAGCAGGCCCUUGCCCUUGUAACUGAAGCACUCCAUCUGGUGGCGUGGAGAUGGAAUCGCUCCGCUCUAGCUAUGGACUGAAGGAUGGGCAGAGGGUGGGAAAGCUCACUGGGGGUGGUUACAAGGGACCAGAUGUCACUGGUGGCAGUGAGCUCCAGGCUCUCUUUGAGUAGCAUUGUUCAGAACUGCACCUGAGGGAGGGGCUGUCCCAGGCAGCCUGGCGGUCUUGGACCCUGUAGUCAUGCAAAACUUUUCAUCUCCAUUUCACUUGCUUGACAGGUUGUCACAAUAAUUUGACCAGUGUUUUACAUUUUCAGUCUGUACAAUAAACAGUAUGGUUUUUCCCUUCCAGCAGGUAAAAAAAACUAAGCUAUUGUCUAAAUGGUUCAGAACUAGUGUGAUAUUGGGAUACUUCAGUGGCUGUUAUGUGAUACUGGAUCUUUUUACAACAGUAGAUUAAAGACAAUAAAAAGGGAUAGAGUAGUAA